UACGAAGGUGGCUAGCGUUGUUCGGAAUCACUGGGCGUAAAGGGCGCGUAGGCGGCUUUUCAAGUCGGGGGUGAAAGCCUGUGGCUCAACCACAGAAUUGCCUUCGAUACUGUUAGGCUUGAGACCGGAAGAGGUGAGUGGAACUGCGAGUGUAGAGGUGAAAUUCGUAGAUAUUCGCAAGAACACCAGUGGCGAAGGCGGCUCACUGGUCCGGUUCUGACGCUGAGGCGCGAAAGCGUGGGGAGCAAACAGG
rnacentral:rRNA from 1 species